rnacentral:rRNA from 1 species
AUUGAACGCUGGCGGCAGGCUUAACACACGCAAGUCGAGCGGGGUGAUGGUGCUUGCACUAUCACUUAGCGGCGGACGGGUGAGUAAUGCUUAGGAAUCUGCCUAUUAGUGGGGGACAACAUCUCGAAAGGGAUGCUAAUACCGCUUACGUCCUACGGGAGAAAGCAGGGGAUCACUUGUGACCUUGCGCUAAUAGAUGAGCCUAAGUCGGAUUAGCUAGUUGGUGGGGGAAAGGCCUGCCAAGGCGACGAUCUGUAGCGGGUCUGAGAGGAGGAUCCGCCACACUGGGACUGAGACACGGCCCAGACUCCUACGGGAGGCAGCAGUGGGGAAUUUUGGACAAUGGGGGCAACCCUGAUCCAGCCAUGCCGCGUGAGUGAAGAAGGCCUUCGGGUUGUAAAGCUCUUUCGGCCGGGAAGAAAUCGCAUAGGUUAAUACCCUGUGUGGAUGACGGUACCGGAAUAAGAAGCACCGGCUAACUACGUGCCAGCAGCCGCCGUAA